rnacentral:rRNA from 1 species
GAUGAACGCUGGCGGCGUGCCUAAUACAUGCAAGUCGAGCGAACAGACGAGGAGCUUGCUCCUCUGACGUUAGCGGCGGACGGGUGAGUAACACGUGGAUAACCUACCUAUAAGACUGGGAUAACUUCGGGAAACCGGAGCUAAUACCGGAUAAUAUAUUGAACCGUAUGGUUCAAUAGUGAAAGACGGUUUUGCUGUCACUUAUAGAUGGAUCCGCGCCGCAUUAGCUAGUUGGUAAGGUAACGGCUUACCAAGGCGACGAUGCGUAGCCGACCUGAGAGGGUGAUCGGCCACACGGGAACUGAGACACGGUCCAGACUCCUACGGGAGGCAGCAGUAGGGAAUCUUCCGCAAUGGGCGAAAGCCUGACGGAGCAACGCCGCGUGAGUGAUGAAGGUCUUCGGAUCGUAAAACUCUGUUAUUAGGGAAGAACAAAUGUGUAAGUAACUAUGCACGUCUUGACGGUACCUAAUCAGAAAGCCACGGCUAACUACGUG